GUCACCGGUCCCAGAAACUGAACCACCGCCUCAAGACUGAAGGGUGUAGCAAUCAUUUCCAUAGCUGCAGGAGGAAAAACUUGUCUGGCCUGCGCAGAGUCCUGAGCUCUACCUUCUUGAACACCUUCGGGAUAAAUUAGAGCAGAGGGGGGAGCUUCAGCAGCCUGUUCACUGCUACAUCUGAGGUUUUGACCUUCCAUGACAUCAGGUAUAAUUUGAAAUUGCCUUUCAAAUGGUUCCAAGAUCACGUAUAUGGGUAAGGUAAUUUACGACACAUCGAACCGGUUGUCUGACCUUGUGGAGGCUGCCAGUGACACCUCUCAACCCAGAAGUCUUUACAAGGACUGCGUAGGCCACAUAACAUCUCUGCAUUAAACACCUGAAACAUUUCACUCUGUGUAAAAUAAUUCUUUGUUUCAUCUUUUAACAGAAUUACUGAAAUAAAUGAACUUUUCAAUGACAUUAAUUUACCGAGAAGCAGCCACAUACAGUAUAAGCCCAUAUAUUUAUUGCAGUUAGAUCUAAAAAGCCCAAAGAUAACUUGAGAAGCUUUUACCUGAUACAAUGCAGUCUAACAAAAAUAUGUUAACAUUUGUUAAAGAAAUAAAAACAAAAGGACAGCUUUAUCAAAUAUGUAACAUCAAGAAAAGCUAUCUGACCCAACAAUAAGCAAAAAUUCAUCUUAUUUGUCAUCCAAUAUAUUUAUUGACAGUUGAAAACAUUUUAAUUCAAACAAUAAGGAUUUAUUUAUAGAACAUUUUCAUGAGCAAAUCAGCAUAAAUUAAACAGACCUAUAAAUUAAAACUGUUAAUGAUGUUGGACAGCAGAUUGAAACCGUGUUGACAAACAGAAACAUUUCACUAGAAAAUCAAAACUGGAACUAAAUUUUAGAUAAAAGCUAAACGGACUGCCAUACAAUUCCAGGAAUCAUCUGGACUAAAGGAUUUUAUCAGUGAUGUUAGGGUCUCUGAACCGUGAGCUAUAAAAUACUCCCGUUAAUUGUCUACCAUGAAAUUAAUUUUAUCUGGACAGAAAAUGGCAGUAGCUGAACAGCAGUCAACAAGAUUGUCCGCUGGCUUUAUUAUCUUCACGAGAGUAUUAAAAAACAUGCGUAUCUCCGGAGAGGAAGACCAAAGUAAUGGUUCAGCAGCAAAGCCAAAAGAGAGGGGAUGUUAAAGUACAUGGUGGAGAAAUCCCUGAUGAUAAACUGCUGCACACCUUGCUGCUGUUUUAGUGAACACGUCUGUUUUAACUGAUGGUCGAGUCUGGAUCUGAUGGCAUCUGGAAAUGGCUAAAAGUCAGGCUUUAGUUUCCGCGGCGAUGGGCUGCCUGGUGGUGUGGCGAGAAGAAGAGUGGAAUAUGUACAGUGUGUGACCUCUGCAGGAGUCCACUUCACAGCACCAU